CAAAAACACGUCCUUUUGAAUNUAANAGAAGGUCNGACCCNCCCAGUGAUUAAUUUAACGGCCGCGGUAUACCNACCGNGCAAAGGUAGCAUAAUCAUUAGUCUNUUAAUAGAGGGCNGGAANGAAAGGUUUGACGAGGAACCGACUGUCUCAUUUUAUUUGUUUNAAAAUUUAAUUUUUUAGUCAAAAAGCUAAAAUAUAAUUGGAAGACGAGAAGACCCUAUAGAUCUUUAUAUAAUUUUAUAUAAUUAUUUUAAUAUUAAUAUAUUUAUAUUAUAAUUAUAUUUUGUUGGGGUGACAAGAAUAUAUAAUUAACUUUUUUAUUUAUUUGCCAUUGAUGAAUGAAUAUUAGAUCCACUCGUAGUGAUUAUUANAACANGUNACCUUAGGGAUAACAGCNUAAUCCUCCUCCNGNNUUCAUAUUUACANGAUGGGCUUGCGACCUCCCUGUUGGAUUAAGAUAAUAAUUACGUGUAGCCGCCCCCUUGAUAGGUCAGAUCGNCCUUUAAAUUCAUACNGGAGCGGAG
rnacentral:rRNA from 1 species